AACCUUUACAAUGCACGAAAGUGUGAUAAGGGAACCCUAAGUGCUUACACUUUGUGUAGGCUUUUGCCAAAAACAAAAAUUUUGGCGAAUAAGUGGUGGGCAAGACUGGUGCCAGCCGCCGCGGUAACACCAGCGCCACAAGUAGGAAUCACGAUUAUUGGGCCUAAAGCGUCCGUAGCCGGUUCUAUAAAUCUCUUGUGAAAUUGGUGAGCUCAACUCAUCGACGUGCAGAAGACACUGCAGAACUUGAGACCGGGAGGGGUUAGAGGUAUUCCAGGGGGAGC
rnacentral:rRNA from 1 species